UACGGAGGGUGCGAGCGUUGUCCGGAAUCACUGGGCGUAAAGGGCGCGUAGGCGGCCUGAUAAGUAGGGGGUGAAAUCCUGCGGCUUAACCGCAGGGCUGCCUUCUAAACUGUCGGGCUCGAGCACAGUAGAGGCAGGUGGAAUUCCCGGUGUAGCGGUGGAAUGCGUAGAGAUCGGGAAGAACAUCAGUGGCGAAGGCGGCCUGCUGGGCAGUUACUGACACUGAGGCGCGACAGCGUGGGGAGCAAACAGG
rnacentral:rRNA from 1 species